UCUACGGGAGGCAGCAGUGGGGAAUAUUGCACAAUGGGCGCAAGCCUGAUGCAGCCAUGCCGCGUGUAUGAAGAAGGCCUUCGGGUUGUAAAGUACUUUCAGCGGGGAGGAAGGUGUUAAGGUUAAUAACCUCAGCAAUUGACGUUACCCGCAGAAGAAGCACCGGCUAACUCCGUGCCAGCAGCCGCGGUAAUA
rnacentral:rRNA from 2 species